rnacentral:tRNA from 1 species
UAGCUCAGUUGGUAGAGCAACGCCCUUUUAAGGCGAGGGUCCUGGGUUCGAGCCCCAGAGGGAUCACCA